GCAAGAAAACUGAGUUCAACAAAGAAACUCCGACCUCAGACCGCGAAAAUCGGGGUUGCACUCACACACUUGCAACUUUUUGUGUAUGAACACAAAAGUCGAACGAGAAUCGUGGUGAAAAAUGAGAAAAGGAAAAGAAAGACAAGGCCAACAAGAGCCAAAGCGUCAUUUUGUUAUUUUUUGUUGAAGUGUUUGGUCGCGUCGUGUCUCGUGUCGUUGUUUGUAUAAUGUUAGAUUAUUAACUAUAAACAAUUAUAUUAAAUUUAUAAACAAUAUGGAAAACAAAAAAGAUGUAAUCUCUAAUGAUGAAGAAAAAUCCAGAAGGUGAAACAUGCGAUUGGGUAUCUAAAAAAAAAAAACACCAACAA